GUGCCAGCCGCCGCGGUAAGACGUAGGUGGCGAGCGUUAUCCGGAUUUACUGGGCGUAAAGCGCGUGCAGGUGGUGCGAUAAGUCGGGCGUGAAAUCUCCUGGCUCAACUGGGAGAGGCCGUCCGAUACUAUCGGACUUGAGGGCAGUAGAGGGAGGUGGAAUUCCGGGUGUAGUGGUGAAAUGCGUAGAUAUCCGGAGGAACACCGGUGGCGAAGGCGGCCUCCUGGACUGCACCUGACACUCAGACGCGAAAGCUAGGGGAGCGAACGGGAUUAGAAACCCCUGUAGUCC
rnacentral:rRNA from 1 species